GCCCCGGGAGCUGCACCGUCUACUCCGUGGUCCAGCCGGGCAGGAGGCCUCCUUCCCUCCGGAGGAAGAGGCUGGACCCCGCCCUGGUCUCCACGGCCUUCUUGGAAGAUAAGGGCGGUGCCAGGCCCUGGAGCCCCUCCCUGCGCCCCCCGCCCCCGACUCCCGCCGCUCUCCACCUCCCCUGAUUCCCUGGCCAGGGGAUUCCCUUCCCUCUGGAGCUGUUUUUCCCGGAGCACCCGGAAAUUCCAGCGCCCUUCUGGGAUCCCACCGGGGGGGUUUGCCUGGGAUUAAAACUUCCAGAAACACUUUUUUUGGGAAGGAUCCGACACCCCCCCCCCCAGUUGCGCUUUGGAGGUUUGGAGGGAAGACUUCGGGAUGGAAAACUUGUUUCCUGCGGGGAUGGAAUGGGACUGGCGGGAUCGGGGGGGGGGGAUCUUCUGGGAUUUUGGGGCUUGGCAGGUUUGGGAAUUGGUUUUUAGGUGCAAACACGAGUUGAACUGCACGAGGGGAUUGUGCUGCUUGUUUAAUUGGCUUAAUUGCCUUAUUUUUAUUUUUUAAAAUACAUAUAUUUUAUUUUUUUAAAUAUAUAUAUUUUAUUUUUUAUUUUCUA